rnacentral:lncRNA from 1 species
AAAGGAAAAAAAAUCUUGUGAGUCCGCUACAAAAUAUGAGUUCAACGUGAUUUGAACCCAAACGUUAAUAGAGACAGGCCAAACGACCUACCACUAAGCCACCAGGGACGAUCUGAAUUUUUUGUGAAAUUAAAGACAAUAGUAGAUUGUUGUGACCUGCUUAUCUCAUGCGGUGUAGGAGACUAUUAUGCGGUGAAUGGCGGUGAACGCGGUGAAAGAAUUCAAUAUGAAAUCAACACAGAAUGAUUAGCUGGAUCUCUUCGGGCCAGGUUCAACAUAGCAAUAUUUUUUUCUGCUUGUAAAGCAAUUUCUCACAUAGAAAUAUAAAAAGAGUAAAAAAUAGCCAGAUUAUAUAAAGAUUAAAGGGAAAAAAAAUUGUGAGUCUGCUACAAAAUAUGAGUUCAGCGUGAUUUGAACUCAAACGUUUAUCGAGAUAGGCCAAACGAACUACCACUAAGCCACCAGGGACGAUCUGAAAUUUUUGUGAAAUUAAAGACAAUAGUAGAUUGUUGUGACCUGCUUAUCUCAUACGGUGUAGGAGACUAUUAUGCGGUGAAUGGCGGUGAACGCGGUGAAAAAAUUCAAUAUGAAAUCAACACAGAAUGAUUAGCUGGAUCUCUUCGGGCUAGGUUCAACAUAGCAAUAUUUUAUACUACUUGCAAAGCGAUUUCUCACAUAGAACUAUAAAAAGAGUAAAAAAUAGCCAGAUUAUAUAAAGGGAAGAAAAAUAUUGAGAGUCCGCUACAAAAUAUGAGUUCAACGGGAUUUGAACCCAAACGUUAAUAGAGACAGGCCAGACGAACUACCACUAAGCUACCAGGGACGAUCUGAAAUUUUUGUGAAAUUAAAGACAAUAGUAAAUUGUUGUGACCUGCUUAUCUCAUGCGGUGUAGGAGACUAUUAUGCGGUGAAUGGCGGUGAACGCGGUGAAAGAAUUCAAUAUGAAGUCAACAGAGAAUGAUUAGCUGGAUCUCUUCGGGCCAGGUUCAACAUAGCAAUAUUUUAUACUACUUCCAAAGCGAUUUCUCACAUAGAACUAUAAAAAGAGUAAAAAAUAGCCAGAUUAUAUAAAGGGAAAAAAAUAUUGUGAGUCCGCUACAAAAUAUGAGUUCAACGUGAUUUGAACCCAAACGUUAAUAGAGACAGGCCAGACGAACUACCACUAAGCCAACAGGGACGAUCUGAAAUUUUUGUGAAAUUAAAGACAAUAGUAGAUUGUUGUGACCUGCUUAUCUCAUGCGGUGUAGGAGACUAUUAUGCGGUGAAUGGCGGUGAACGCGGUGAAAGAAUUCAAUAUGAAAUCAACACGGAAUGAUUAGCUGGAUCUCUUCGGGCCAGGUUCAACAUAGCAAUAUUUUAUACUACUUGCAAAGCGAUAUCUCACAUAGAACUAUAAAAAGAGUAAAAAAUAGCCUGAUUAUAUAAAGGGAAAAAAAAUAUUGUGAGUCCGCUACAAAAUAUGAGUUCAACGUGAUUUGAACACAAACGUUAAUAGAGACAGGCCAGAGGAACUACCACUAAGCCACCAGGGACGAUCUGAAAUUUUUGUGAAAUUAAAGACAAUAGUAGAUUGUUGUGACCUGCUUAUCUCAUGCGGUGUACGAGACUAUUAUGCGGUGAAUGGUGGUGAACGCCGUGAAAGAAUUCAAUAUGAAAUCAACACAGAAUUAUUAGCUGGAUCUCUUUGGGCCAAGUUCAAAAUAGCAAUAUUUUAUGCUACUUGCAAAGCGAUUUCUCACAUAGAAGUAUAAAAAGUAUAAAAAAUAGCAACAAUAAAUAGAGGAAAAAAAAUAUUGAGAGUCCGCUACAAAAUAUGAGUUCAACGGGAUUUGAACCCAAACGUUAAUCGAGACAGGGCAGACGAACUACCACUAAGCCACCAGGGACGAUCUGCAAUUUUUGUGAAAUUAAAGACAACAGUAAAUUGUUGUGACCUGCUUAUCUCAUGCGGUGUAGGAGACUAUUAUGCGGUGAAUGGCGGUGAACGCGGUGAAAGAAUUCAAUAUGAAAUCAACACAGAAUGAUUAGCUGGAUCUCUUCAGGCCAGGUUCAACAUAGCAAUAUUUUUUUCUCCUUGUAAAGCAAUUUCUCACAUAGAAAUAUAAAAAGAGUAAAAAAUAGCCAGAUUAUAUAAAGAUUAAAAGGAAAAAAAUUUGUGAGUCUGCUACAAAAUAUGAGUUCAACGUGAUUUGAACCCAAACGUUAAUAGAGACAGGCCAGACGAACUACCACUAAGCCACCAGGGACGAUCUGAAAUUUUUGUGAAAUUAAAGACAAUAGUAGAUUGUUGUGACCUGCUUAUCUCACGCGGUGUAGGAGACUAUUAUGCGGUGAAUGGCGGUGAACGCGGUGAAAGAAUUCAAUAUGAAAUCAACAGAGAAUGAUUAGCUGGAUCUCUUCGGGCCAGGUUCAACAUAGCAAUAUUUUAUACUACUUGCAAAGCGAUUUCUCACAUAGAACUAUAAAAAGAGUAAAAAAUAGCCAGAUUAUAUAAAGGGAAAAAAAUAUUGUGAGUCCGCUACAAAAUAUGAGUUCAACGUGAUUUGAACCCAAACGUUAAUAGAGACAGGCCAGACGAACUACCACUAAGCCACCAGGGACGAUCUGAAAUUUUUGUGAUAUUAAAGACAAUAGUAGAUUGUUCUGACCUGCUUAUCUCAUGCGGUGUAGGAGACUAUUAUGCGGUGAAUGGCGGUGAACGCGGUGAAAGAAUUCAAUAAGAAAUCAACACAGAAUGAUUAGCUGCAUCUCUUCGGGCCAGGUUCAACAUAGCAAUAUUUUAUACUACUUGCAAAGCGAUUUCUCACAUAGAAGUACAAAAAGUAUAAAAAAUAGCAAGAAUAAAUAAAGGGGAAAAAUAUUGAGAGUCCGCUAAAAAAUAUGAGUUCAACGGGAUUUGAACCCAAACGUUAAUAGAGACAGGACAUACGAACUACCACUAAGCCACCAGGGACGAUCUGAAGUUCUUGCGAAAUUAAAGACAAUAGUAGAUUGUUGUGACCUGCUUAUCUCAUGCGGUGUAGGAGACUAUUAUGCGGUGAAUGGCGGUGAACGCGGUGAAAGAAUUCAAUAUGAAAUCAACACAGAAUGAUUAGCUGGAUCUCUUCGGGCCAGGUUCAACAUAGCAAUAUUUUUUUCUGCUUGUAAAGCAAUUUCUCACAUAGAAAUAUAAAAAGAGUAAAAAAUAGCCAGAUUAUAUAAAGAUUAAAGGGAAAAAAAAUUGUGAGUCUGCUACAAAAUAUGAGUUCAGCGUGAUUUGAACUCAAACGUUUAUCGAGAUAGGCCAAACGAACUACCACUAAGCCACCAGGGACGAUCUGAAAUUUUUGUGAAAUUAAAGACAAUAGUAGAUUGUUGUGACCUGCUUAUCUCAUACGGUGUAGGAGACUAUUAUGCGGUGAAUGGCGGUGAACGCGGUGAAAAAAUUCAAUAUGAAAUCAACACAGAAUGAUUAGCUGGAUCUCUUCGGGCUAGGUUCAACAUAGCAAUAUUUUAUACUACUUGCAAAGCGAUUUCUCACAUAGAACUAUAAAAAGAGUAAAAAAUAGCCAGAUUAUAUAAAGGGAAAAAAAAUAUUGAGAGUCCGCUACAAAAUAUGAGUUCAACGUGAUUUGAACCCAAACGUUAAUAGAGACAGGCCAGACGAACUACCACUAAGCCACCAGGGACGAUCUGAAAUUUUUGUGAAAUUAAAGACAAUAGUAGAUUGUUGUGACCUGCUUAUCUCAUGCGGUGUAGGAGACUAUUAUGCGGUGAAUAGCGGUGAAUGCGGUGAAAGAAUUCAAUAUGAAAUCAACACGGAAUGAUUAGCUGGAUCUCUUCGGGCCAGGUUCAACAUAGCAAUAUUUUAUACUACUUGCAAAGCGAUAUCUCACAUAGAACUAUAAAAAGAGUGAAAAAUAGCCAGAUUAUAUAAAGGAAAAAAAAUAUUGUGAGUCCGCUACAAAAUAUGAGUUCAACGUGAUUUGAACCCAAACGUUAAUAGAGACAGGCCAGACGAACUACCACUAAGCCACCUGGGACGAUCUGAAAUUUUUGUGAAAUUAAAGACAAUAGUAGAUUGUUGUAACCUGCUUAUCUCAUGCGGUGCAGGAGACUAUUAUGCGGUGAAUGGCGGUGAACGCGGUGAAAGAAUUCAAUAUGAAAUCAACAGAGAAUGAUUAGCUGGAUCUCUUCGGGCCAGGUUCAACAUAGCAAUAUUUUA